UGAGGAAUAUUGGUCAAUGGGCAAAAGCCUGAACCAGCCAAGUCGCGUGAGGGAAGACGGUCCUGUGGAUUGUAAACCUCUUUUGUCGGGGAGCAACGACGCCACGUGUGGCGGAAGGGAGAGUACCCGAAGAAAAAAGCAUCGGCUAACUCCGUGCCAGCAGCCGCGGUAAUACGGAGGAUGCGAGCGUUAUCCGGAUUUAUUGGGUUUAAAGGGUGCGUAGGCGGAACGUUAAGUCAGCGGUAAAAUUGCGGGGCUCAACCCUGUACCGCCGUUGAAACUGGCGUUCUAGAGUGGGCGAGAAGUAUGCGGAAUGCGAGGUGUAGCGGUGAAAUGCAUAGAUAUCACGCAGAACUCCGAUUGCGAAGGCAGCGUACCGGCGCCCAACUGACGCUGAGGCACGAAAGCGUGGGGAUCGAACAGGAUUAGAUACC
rnacentral:rRNA from 1 species